rnacentral:misc_RNA from 1 species
UUUCCGUAGGUGAACCUGCGGAAGGAUCAUUAUCGAAUUUCGAGGGGAAGGAAGAUGUGGAGUGGAGACUGUUGCUGGCUUUCCCGCCUGGGAAGCAUGUGCACGCCUUGCUUUUCGUUGACCUUUCUCUUACUCUCACACCUGUGCACCCAUUGUAGGUCCUCGAAAGAGGAUCUAUGUUUUUAUCAUCACACGCAUCGUAUGUCCAUAGAAUGUAACAUGAUCGUCGAUCGACCUCGCGGUCGGGUGGCGGUCUAAAUAAAUAAAUACAACUUUCAGCAACGGAUCUCUUGGCUCUC